rnacentral:misc_RNA from 1 species
UCAAACUUGGUCAUUUAGAGGAAGUAAAAGUCGUAACAAGGUUUCCGUAGGUGAACCUGCGGAAGGAUCAUUACCGUGGGGGCCCCCCGGGGCCCCUACCGAGAUAGCACCCCUUGUCUUUUCAAGCACCAACCGUUUCCUCGGUGGGCCCGCCCGCCAACGGGGACCAAAACAAAACCUCCAAACCGCAGUAUCAGAAGUAAACCGUACACAAACAAAACAAUCAAAACUUUCAACAACGGAUCUCUUGGUUCUGGCAUCGAUGAAGAACGCAGC